CGUCAGCUAGCAGCACUUGUCGACUAUUUCUUCCCGAGGUUUCGGGUGAAGCAAGUGGUGAAACCUUAUAUAAUGAAACGAACGCAUCUGAGAGCUCGUUUUCUGCCCCGCUCACUGAAUACACGAUACGCUUGUUAUUUAUUAGAACACUAUGGUUGCAUUUAAUCAGCAGCGUUUUGUAACACACAGGGUAUAUACACCAAGAGGUAUACAUCUCUCUCAGUGCAUGAGCGCUGGAAGUUCACUUUAUUCCACGUACCAGAUAUCAAAAUAUUCUUGAUUUUUGUGUUAUAAAUUGUAAUCUUAACUGACCCGCUUGCAGUCUGGGACUUAAACCUCACAAGCCAUCGACCAUAGUUUACGCAGGAGUGUACCAAGUGGGAGCUGGUACACUUCUGUGAGAGUAGAGGUGACGAAAUGAGUGGUUGUACUUGGAAUAGUGACAGACACAGUAAUGUACAGUAUAAUAUACUAACUCACGAUCAAGCAACACACAGGAUAACUGGAGGAUUUACGAGGCAUAGAGACAAAAGAAGAAUCAUUGGAUCCUACGUAAAAACUGCAACAAAGAUGAGAAAACCAAGAAAACAAAAUUUCAAGAGAACACCAGGAUGAUCUGACAAGAUAAUGUUAUACUCACAAGCACAGUGACUACCUACUGAGGCUCCCAGGACACUGUCUAGCUCUUGUACCAUGUUACAGGGACCACGCUUGAUCUUCAUGGGACUCUGCCUUCACAAGAAAACUGAAAGAUAGACUGCAAAUCACCCAGAACAAAAUGGUACCAUUCUUCUCUUGCAAGUUGAGUAGAAAACCUUAUAAGGGUCAAGCUGAUCUGGGAUAGUCACCAGGGAAUCCAACUAGGGAAGACUCCAUAUCAAGUACUCUAACAUCUAAUCCAUGAUGAUGUCUUACAGUAAAGAAGAAUGCAUCCAAAUAAUUCUACUCUUAGGAAAUUAAAGUCAGAGGGAGACCACUGAGGAAUUUGGUUGCAUCCAAACCAUGCAAUGAUAACACAGCUGCCUGUUGUGAAGUGGAUGAGACAACUUCUCAAGACCUCGUCUGCAGGGGCGACUGUGUGGACGAUAGCCGUCUUAUCAGCUAAGUACUCCCUACAUUUAAUCUUUAACCUUAGCUAGUAAACCAUUUCUCAACAGGAGAGUGCAGGCACCAUACUUCCCACCUCAAGGACUCACCUGAAGGGCAGGCAUCAGCACAGGUGUCACCUGUAAAGCCUGGGGCACAGCGACACUGGCCAGUACUGGGGUCACAGGUGGCACCGUUGUGGCAUUCACAAGCACGAGUACAAUAGGCACCAAAGAAUCCGGCCGGACACUCUGGGGAAAGAAGAAUUUCUGCAGAGGAUGUAUAAAGAAACAAUGAUGUACCUGGUUGGCACAUGCAGGCACCAGAGAUGUGGUCACACUUGGCACCAUUGGCACAACUGCAGUUCAUGGCACAUCCAGACCCAUAGACUCCAGCUUCACAU